rnacentral:rRNA from 1 species
CACGUAGGGGACGAGCGUUGUCCGGAUUCAUUGGGCGUAAAGCGCGCGUAGGCGGCUCGGAAAGUCGGUCGUGAAAUGCCGGGGCUCAACCCCGGGACUGCGUCCGAUACUUCCGGGCUGGAGGUAGGUAGGGGAGAUCGGAAUUCCUGGUGUAGCGGUGAAAUGCGCAGAUAUCAGGAGGAACACCGGUGGCGAAGGCGGAUCUCUAGUACGGUACUGACGCUGAGACGCGAAAGCGUGGGGAGCGAACAGG